UACGUAGGGUGCGAGCGUUGUCCGGAAUUAUUGGGCGUAAAGAGCUUGUAGGCGGUCUGUCGCGUCUGCUGUGAAAAUCCGGGGCUCAACCCCGGACUUGCAGUGGGUACGGGCAGACUAGAGUGUGGUAGGGGAGACUGGAAUUCCUGGUGUAGCGGUGAAAUGCGCAGAUAUCAGGAGGAACACCCGUGGCGAAGGCGGUUCUCUGGGACGGUACUGACGCUGAGACGCGAAAGCGUGGGGAGCGAACAGG
rnacentral:rRNA from 1 species